UACGUAGGGUGCAAGCGUUGUUCGGAAUCAUUGGGCGUAAAGCGCGUGUAGGUGGCUUAUUAAGUCGAUUGUGAAAUCCCUGGGCUCAACCGAGGAAGUGCAGUCGAAACUAGUAGGCUAGAGGACAGCAGAGGAAGGUGGAAUUCCCAGUGUAGAGGUGAAAUUCGUAGAUAUUGGGAGGAAUACCGGCGGCGAAGGCGGCCUUCUGGACUGUUCCUGACACUGAGACGCGAAAGCGUGGGUAGCAAACAGG
rnacentral:rRNA from 1 species